rnacentral:rRNA from 1 species
GACGAACGCUGGCGGCGUGCCUAAUACAUGCAAGUCGAGCGGACUGAUUAAGAGCUUGCUCUUAUGACGUUAGCGGCGGACGGGUGAGUAACACGUGGGCAACCUGCCCUGUAGAUCGGGAUAACACCGAGAAAUCGGUGCUAAUACCGGGUAAUAUCUGAGAUCACAUGAUCUUAGGUUAAAAGAUGGCUCCGGCUAUCACUACAGGAUGGGCCCGCGGCGCAUUAGCUAGUUGGUAAGGUAAUGGCUUACCAAGGCGACGAUGCGUAGCCGACCUGAGAGGGUGAGCGGCCACACGGGGACUGAGACACGGCCCAGACUCCUACGGGAGGCAGCAGUAGGGAAUCUUCCGCAAUGGACGAAAGUCUGACGGAGCAACGCCGCGUGAGUGAUGAAGGGUUUCGGCUCGUAAAGCUCUGUUGUUAGGGAAGAAACAGUACCGAACGAACUAGGUCGGUACCUUGACGGUACCUAACCAGAAAGCCACGGCUAACUACGUG